GACGAACGCUGGCGGCGUGCCUAAUACAUGCAAGUAGAACGCUGAAGGAGGAGCUUGCUUCUCUGGAUGAGUUGCGAACGGGUGAGUAACGCGUAGGUAACCUGCCUGGUAGCGGGGGAUAACUAUUGGAAACGAUAGCUAAUACCGCAUAAGAGUAGAUGUUGCAUGACAUUUGCUUAAAAGGUGCAAUUGCAUCACUACCAGAUGGACCUGCGUUGUAUUAGCUAGUUGGUGAGGUAACGGCUCACCAAGGCGACGAUACAUAGCCGACCUGAGAGGGUGAUCGGCCACACUGGGACUGAGACACGGCCCAGACUCCUACGGGAGGCAGCAGUAGGGAAUCUUCGGCAAUGGACGGAAGUCUGACCGAGCAACGCCGCGUGAGUGAAGAAGGUUUUCGGAUCGUAAAGCUCUGUUGUAAGAGAAGAACGAGUGUGAGAGUGGAAAGUUCACACUGUGACGGUAUCGUACCAGAAAGGGACGGCUAACUACGU
rnacentral:rRNA from 1 species